rnacentral:rRNA from 1 species
UACGUAGGGUGCGAGCGUUGUCCGGAAUUAUUGGGCGUAAAGGGCUCGUAGGCGGUUUGUCGCGUCGGGAGUGAAAACCAUGGGCUUAACUCAUGGCUUGCUUCCGAUACGGGCAGACUAGAGGUAUGCAGGGGAGAACGGAAUUCCUGGUGUAGCGGUGAAAUGCGCAGAUAUCAGGAGGAACACCGGUGGCGAAGGCGGUUCUCUGGGCAUUACCUGACGUGAGGAGCGAAAGUGUGGGGAGCGAACAGG